CUCAGAGGUCGGAGGGAGGCUGUGGAGCCGGCACCCUGCCCCGCCCCGAGCAGGGUAGCGGGUGAGCCUCAUAGGAGGCGGGGGCCCCACGGGCUUGGCCCUCGACAGAACGAGCGCACAGACGGUUAGUUGCACAGGAAAUUUCAACACGGGUUUCCUCUCUACCCACCCUGCCUCCCAACCGUGGCUGCCAGACUCAGAGGUGGACCCCGGCGAAUUUGCAUUUCGCAACGGCCUGGCCAUGCCCCCGUGACACCUGCCCGAGCAGCCUCCAGACGGCCACCGUGACUUGGGCCGGCCCUCUGUGGACGCAGAUCAGUCCGGGGCACCUCUGACCGCCGGCCGGCGUGCAAAAUGAGGACGGCUGCCCUCCGGAUACCAGACGCGGAGGCUCAGCAGCGCGCGGCCCUCUGAGACCCCAGGAUGCUGGGCUAACACUCAGGCCCAGGUGAUAUCAGGCUGCACAGGCACAAGGAGCCGACUCCAGAAACAAGAUGCCCUUGAACAGUAGGACCGCCAACAAGAGGGAAUUUGGCUUGGUGGUUUCGGGUCAUGGGUUCACCCGGCCUCGGCUUAGCGAUCCGUAUGACGGGUAUAUCGUCACUCUGCGGGGCUUCGUGACUUCAAUCAGCUCCAUGCCUCCGUCACGGGAAAACACGAGACUCAUCAGAUGUAUCUGGACAUGGUGGCUCGAUCUUUCAAUUCUCUUCCGUGGAGUGAGCGUUGUGAAAUCCAGCAAGUGGGUGGCAUACGUGGUCAUGGAGACCCCAAAGGUUAACAGAGAGGCCCACUGUGGGAUACUUGGCCCUGUCUUCACAGAAAGAUAAUCAUCUGCUUCUCAUGAUCGUAUCAGUUUCACAACAAUCGGCCCACUGGCCUCUACACCACCCAGGAAACCCAGCCCUUCUCCUGCCUCCGAGAGGCCCUGCAGUUCACAGUGGGAGGCGUGGCUAGCAGCCUACAGCACAGCAAAAAAAUGCAUGUGCAUGGGGAAGUUGUAAGUAACUCAUUAAGUAGAGAGCCCACAGAACAACAAGGUACCUAGUUAGAGGGGUACCAGGAUUACGUGUGAAUGCAGACAGGUUGCCCAUGUAGAUAUGGGACUGCGUUAUUAUGGGCUGAAUUCAAUCCCUACAAAUUCAGCUGUCGAAGUCCUCACCCCAAGACCCCAAAAUAUGACCUCAAUUGGAAAUAGGGUUUCUGUAGAUGUAAUUAGGCAAGACAGAGUCACACUGGAGUAGGGCAGGUCCCUACUCUGAUAUGACUGGUGUCCUUAUAAAAGGGAGAAACUCGGACAUAGACACACGCGCACGCACACACACACACACACAGAAGGACAACCAUGUCAGGACACAGGGAGAAGAUGGGGUUUACACGCCAAGGAGAGGCCUCAGGAGGAACCAGCCUCAGCCCCGCCUGGAUCUCUGACUCCCAGCCUCAGCCCCGCCUGGAUCUCAGACUCCCAGCCUCCAGGACUGGGAGUCAUAAAUAUCAGUUUACUGUUCCGUGAGAAAACAAAUUGCAGACGCAGGUACUCUGUUAUAGCAACCAUAGGAAACCCAUACAGUCAACAGUCAGGACAAUUACCUACACAGCGUUAGGACUCCAACCACUGUGGUUUUGUUCUCUGCUUCCUGCCCUAACCUGCUAUUUCUCAGAAAUGGAGACCAAUCCCACAGAGGAGAGAACAAUACCAUUGCCCGGUCAAGGAUGGCUUGUCUCCACUGCAACCCUUGCUGGCCUCUGUACUCAAGUGCGGUCUGUGAAUGGCUUUCAUGAGGGACUCUUCAUAUCCAUGACCACCUCCAUCUGGAGCCUUGUCUGGAAGAGAUGGAUGGACAUGCACUGAUCCAUGGUGUUCUCUCUCCCAUCAACUAUCUAAGGGGGUACCCCGUGGGUCAGAGGCCACAAGAAAGAAUAUAUGGAUGGGCCUUGGCCUCAGGCCACCUCAGAUUUCUUAAUCUCAACUCUGGGCCCCACGGGCAUAAAGAUCAUCUCUGCACAGUCACUGAACAACAUCUGCUGGGUCUGCAGCAAGCCUCACACGUUUCAAAGGAUUGAACGUGUUCCCGAUACCUCUCUCUGAACUCAAGGGAAUUGAGCUGGAAACAAAUAAAGAACAGCUGACCAGAGAUUCAUCCACUGCUAGACCCUUCCUAAUAACCCAUGGGCCAAAGAUUGCGAUGAAAACAGAAAAGAUUUUGAAUGAAUGAUGUUGCCAGCAGACACGGCCCCAGAGAUGCCCACGUCCUCACAGAUGUCCUAAUCCCCAUGUGGUAGGCAGAAUACUAUAGGUGCCUCCAAAGUCUGGAAAAGACAAGGAAUCAGAUUUUCCCUUAGACCUGCCACAAGGAGCCAGCUCUACCAAAACUUUGACUUUUACCUGGCAAAAUGGAUUUGGGGCUUCUGAUCACUACAGCGGUAGAAAGCAGAUCUCUGUUGCCUAAUGCAUGCUGUGCUUUGUUACAGUAGGAAGCUCACACAAACAAUAAUUAAGACACAAUGCAUCGAAACACAUUAGGGUGGAACCAACGUGGUGAAAACAGGCAAAUUCAUAGCCUUGAAUCCAUUCCUUAGACAAGAAGAAAAACUGCAUGCCCACGGCCCAAGAUUCCAUCUUAAGUAUCUAGAAAGAGCUAGCUCAAACCAAAAUAAGGUAGAAGGAAGGAAAUGAUGAAAUGAAGAGAUCAGUAGAAUGGGGGGAGGCGGGGAUGUAUGGGGUUGGGAGGAGAAAAAUGUGCAAAGCUUAUCCCUAUGCCUGUGGGGUCCAGAGUUUAGGUAAGACUGGCAUUAUAGGGUUGCAUUAAGGGUUGAAUGCAACGCACCUGUUCAAGGCUGGCUGAUCGGAAAUGCCUGGUAAACACCCACUAUUUACAACCAGGCGCUCCAAAGCAAGUGACACCUCGCUUCGUGAAAACAACCUCCGAAAGUCACGUACGUUUGCCACUAGCAGCAUUGCCGUGACAUAUCUGCUUCCCGUCCAUAACCAUGUCAACCAGGAAGAGAAAAAAAAAGAAACAACUCUUGAAACAUUGGUGAGAUCCAAGCCCAACGGUUAAUUUUCUUGAUGAAUUAAAUUUUUUAAUGUAUUUGUGCUUCCACAGUGCUUAGUACGAUAAUGACUUCAAGGCACCCAGUUUUAUUUUAAGUAGGAAAGCUAGCUCAGGGAAAUUGUUGGCGGAAAUGUAACUUUUUGCUCCCACCGUCUGUGGGGGGUUCAAGUCAGGAGGUUGGGGGUGGGCACAUUCCUGUAAUAUGCUUCCUCUCCCCCAGCAGUUACCGGGUUUUUUGUUUGUUUGUUUUUGUCAGGAUGGAUGUGAGCGUUGGGUUCUCCAGCCAUGCACGAGACUCUAAAGCUCGUACUCCCUCAUGAAGCUGUUUAACAUUUCCAUGCAUAUUUACAAUCACGUACAAAUCAAAAGCGGUUUCACUGAGAACUGCUUUUGCACACUGCCCCCUCCCCCCAAGUCCCAGGUGACCCCCUCCCUCUCCUUGCAUGAAGAUGGAGAGCAGCACGGGGUCUUCAAACUGAGAUGUCCAGGGCACCAGAGCCCGCCUGGAGGGAUCCACACACACACUUAGUUUUAAAAUAAUCAACUCGUGGCAACGGAAAUAAGGUUGUUUCUUUUCCAAUCAGCAUUCAGGUCAAAUGCAAGGUCAAGAAAGUUCUAGAAUUCUGGGUGAACAAGACAAAGCAAGCCCUCCUCCAGGAUAAAUCCUACUCAGAUGUAUGUCCCCAGGGGCCCCAAAGGAGAAGCCCACCUUCUUAAUAUUCAACCCCGGGUAUCCCAGACUUGAAGGGUCCCAUGUCACCCACCUGGAGGCACCUGUUUGACGGCCGGGGAAGUGACUCACUCACAAAGCAGGUGCAUGGGGCCCAUGCAGGGGAAGCUCUGAAUUCAGUGGAGCAGUGGCAAUACUGACAUUUUCAGUUUACCACCUUUCCCUCCUCCACAUACAAAGAAGGAAGAGCUGCCAGUUGGACACAUUGAGACUUCUCAACAUGGCGGACUCAUUUCCCACUAGUUUCAAGAUUUGUGGGUGGGAAUCCCACAGUUGAAACUUUUGCAGGAUUUCUUCCAGAUGUGCUGUGUGUUACACCAUGAGUUAGCAAGUCCUUAUUGGAACAAAUCAUAGCCUAUCUGCUCCGGGGACAUUGAGUCCUCCUCCUGGGGGACCUUGUAAGAUGUGUGUUGAAGUCAAUGCCUAUUGAAAGUGAAAACGAGACAACAGAGGCAUUUUUCGCCCCACGAAUAUUCCCUUUUGUUCAACGCGUGGUAAAAUCUUGACCGCAUUUCGGCUCAUUAGGGAAGUUGUGUCCCAUACAUUUUUUUACUGUUGGAUUUAAUAAUCGUGCAUCAAAGCGUGUGAUACAUUUACGUUCCUUGCGUUGAUUUGACCACAAUGACCGGCAACUUGGAGGAAGGCUUUUAGCACGGAGGCCCUGACGGACAGGAAGUGAAACACACGUGUGCAUUUACAAGGCGCACACCUAUUUUUGUUGUCGUGACUUGGAUGGGAUCAUAGACCAAAGAGUUGCAAGCACGUCUCUAAGUCACCAGGCUCAGAAUCUGCAAAAAGAGUGAUAACAAAAUGGCAGUUUGAAGAGAAAGAAAAAAAAAUAAUGAUGAUGUGACAUUGCCCAAUCUUUAAAAAGAGUUCGUUCAUCGGUUGGUUAAACACAUGAUACAAUAUAUAAAACUGAUAUCAUUAGGGAUGCCUUCAAAA